GCAUUUCAGGCAGGAAGCAGAGAAGUGGUGGCCAAGUGACCAUUAACUGAUGAUGUUGGAAUCAUCUUUGACAGCUGCUGCUUCUCUAGGGCAGCCAAAGCCAUUUUAGGAUGGUGAGAGACAUGCCGCCAGCACAUUGGAAAUGCGUCUCUGGUGGACAGGAAACAUUAUGAGUCACACUCGAAGUUCUCUGUUGUUCGGAAGGGGUGAAACCACUUUGACUUCAGGAGGACUGAAGGUGUUAGGAGCUGCUUGGCAUUUUGACUGUGUUUUCUGAGACGAAUAUGUAUGUACGACUGCCUGGGGAGAAACCACACACAACAGAGCCUGAAGCGACUAAAGACUAACACCAGGUCAGUCAGGAAGCUCUGGAAGUUUGAUGGAAACUCAUGCAAUAUGAGAAAGACUUGACCAGCUAUGGCUAACUUUGAAAGUGGAAGGCGUCCAGGAGCCAAGGAAUAUGGGCAGCCUUAGAAGCUGAAAAGGGAGCCUAAAGAAGAUGAAAUCAAUUGGCACGGAUUCUGCAACUAAAUGAUGCUUUCGCAGGGGUAAAGCUUUUUGGAACUGCACUGCUUACUAAGAGCGUGAAAUGCCACAGGAGUGGCUGAAACAUUGGUGGAAGUCAGCCAUUCUGCCACGCUUCCUCUAUACUUUGCCACCGUCAGGGGAUCACUGGAGAGGAUGGGGGUCAUUGAGUGCACGUGAGGUCCCAUUUGCUGCCUCUCGCUGGUGAGCAUGCACCAUCUGCCCAGAGGAAGGACAACGCUGUCUAUGGAUUUGCAGUGUGAGUCACUUACACAGGUAGUUUGUGAGAGGCAUAUGACACAGCAAAACUUGCUUUGAGUAAAAUCAAAAACAUCAGAAAAAUGCAACUCUUUAAAUGGUAUAGAGUUUUCAGCCUUUGCCUUGUACUUUUCUAAGCCCUUUUAUGACAGUAUCUCAUACAGUUCUUUAAAAGAAUAGAAAUCAGGGGCACCUGGGUGGCUCAGUUGGUUAAGCAUCUGCCUUGAGCUGAGGUCAUGAUCCCUGGGUCCUGAGAUCAAGUGUCGCAUCAGGCUCCUUGUCAGGCAGGAAGCCUGCUUAUCCCUCUCUCCCUACUCAUGCUCACUCUCUCUCA